rnacentral:rRNA from 1 species
UACGGAAGGGGCAAGCGUUGUUCGGAAUCAUUGGGCGUAAAGGGCGCGUAGGCGGCCAUUCAAGUGACGGGUGAAAGCCCUCGGCUUAACCGAGGAACUGCCUGUCAGACUGGAUGGCUUGAGACCGGGAGAGGUGAGUGGAAUUCCCAGUGUAGCAGUGAAAUGCGUAGAGAUCGGGAGGAACAUCUGUGGCGAAGGCGACUGCCUGGACCAGCACUGACACUGAGGCACGAAAGCGUGGGGAGCAAACAGG